rnacentral:rRNA from 1 species
UACAGAGGGUGCGAGCGUUAAUCGGAAUUACUGGGCGUAAAGCGCGCGUAGGCGGCAUUGCAAGUCGGGUGUGAAAUCCCCAGGCUUAACCUGGGAACUGCAUUCGAGACUGCAUUGCUAGAGUAUGGGAAAGGGAAGUGGAAUUUCCGGUGUAGCGGUGAAAUGCGUAGAUAUCGGAAGGAACAUCAGUGGCGAAAGCGACUUCCUGGACCAAUACUGACGCUCAUGUGCGAAAGCGUGGGGAGCAAACAGG